rnacentral:lncRNA from 1 species
GCGGUGCAGCCUGCCGCCUCGGUUUGGUCGCUACGCAACCUCUCGCUGCUUUAAAUUUAAGUAUAAUUUCUUACCUAGUGAGUAGGCGACCUUGGUGGGACUGACUCUUCCCAGCUCUCCCGAGAAUGUAACGAUGUUGAACCAGACGAGAACAAUUUCCUUGAGCUUUAACUGCCUGUAACACUAGUUGGAGCCUGUUCUUGACAACACCUACAGUUGAGCAUCAAAGCAGCCUGAUAGCUACUGCUGUGUAAUUUCCCAGAAUUCACAAGCAGGACUUCGGUUUCUCUAUGGAAAAUGUUCUGUCUUCCUGUGACUGUGUGUUCCAGAGCUCUAUGUCAAAAUUUAAAAAUGUGAAGAGGAAGAUAAAAGCUAGAACUCAGUGACUGAGCUCGAUCACCAGCUGCUGCAGAGGGGAGAGGAUGGACAAGCUUAGAGUCACGGAGCCUUAGUGAAGAAGGCCAGGAGAAUCAACUCAGGCGUUUGGAAAAAGCAAGAGACACAGAGAAAAGGGGGUUGUCACACAUUCCUGCUAUUAGUCCCAGCACUGUGGCUUGGGGCUAUGGGUGGAGGCAGGCCGAUCUCUGCGAGUUCAAGGCCAGCCUGGGCUACAUAGUUCCAGCUACAUAGACUUUGGAAAAUGCUUUUAUCCUUUGCCACUCCAGCUUUCCUGUCAGGUGACUCUUUCCACCAGAUCUUUUGAUACAGAAGCAGGGGCACACCACCACUGCCCCUGCUGCAAACUGUCUUUCUUAAAUCGUAGGCUAGCUCCCAAUGUGAUAACUUUGGGAUAGACUCACAGAAGCACAGGGGGCAUGACAUUGAAUAUUUCACUGGCCAUAAAAGAGGAGUGUGGCCUUCCAAUUGCUUCUAAUUCUCUUCUAGAAUUCCCAGUUAUUGGUGUGGUGGGGGCAGAGGCAAAAAUGGGGUCACACACGAAAGGAGAUCUCAUCACUUCCCAGGAGUCACCAUGGAUGAUGGACGUCCAAAGUGAGGGAGACAAACCCCUGGGGCUGCCGGGAGAGGGAUCCAGCACAGGAUGGGGAAGGCUGGGAAGAUGAGCUGGGCAGCAGGCAUAGAGAACAGCCAACCCAGACUGUAGCAAGAAGCCCUUGAAGGCAUCUCCGGCUAAGAGCCAACAAACAGACAAAAACAGCACAACUGCUCUCUGGUCUCGUAUGUUUGACUGUCCAAAAAAGGGACUCAACGAAAUCCACUCAGGCCAACAACUCUCAUGUAGAAAGCUAAACAACAGAACACAGGGCAGCACAAAAAGUUCUACUAGAAGGAAACAUACGGCUGGGGGUGCGCUGAUUUGGUAGUUUAGCUUGUAUGAAGUCCAGGGUUCGAUUCCCCAGCACGGCAUAAAAUUCAGCCGUGCCAGUGAGCGCCUAUAAUCCUAACCUCAGGGAGAUGGAAACAAGAGGAGCGGUUCAUUGCCAUGCUCAGCUAUGAGGAUAGCCUGGACUAAAUGAUACUAUAGCUCAAAAACACGAACAAAUGAAAAAUCAGAAAGUGGUCUAUUUAAAAUGCUGUAUAAAAAGACACAUCCACUCCCUUAAGAGAAAAGUUAAUUUUCUG